UACGGAGGGGGCUAGCGUUGUUCGGAAUUACUGGGCGUAAAGCGCACGUAGGCGGCUUUGUAAGUUAGAGGUGAAAGCCCGGGACUCAACUCCGGAAUUGCCUUUAAGACUGCAUCGCUAGAAUUGUGGAGAGGUAAGUGGAAUUCCGAGUGUAGAGGUGAAAUUCGUAGAUAUUCGGAAGAACACCAGUGGCGAAGGCGACUUACUGGACACAUAUUGACGCUGAGGUGCGAAAGCGUGGGGAGCAAACAGG
rnacentral:rRNA from 1 species